rnacentral:rRNA from 1 species
UGGGGAAUAUUGGACAAUGGGCGAAAGCCUGAUCCAGCCAUGCCGCGUGUGUGAAGAAGGUCUUCGGAUUGUAAAGCACUUUAAGUUGGGAGGAAGGGCAUUAACCUAAUACGUUAGUGUUUUGACGUUACCGACAGAAUAAGCAACGGCUAACUCUGUGCCAGCAGCCGCGGUAAUACAGAGGGUGCAAGCGUUAAUCGGAAUUACUGGGCGUAAAGCGCGCGUAGGUGGUUUGUUAAGUUGGAUGUGAAAUCCCCGGGCUCAACCUGGGAACUGCAUUCAAAACUGACUGACUAGAGUAUGGUAGAGGGUGGUGGAAUUUCCUGUGUAGCGGUGAAAUGCGUAGAUAUAGGAAGGAACACCAGUGGCGAAGGCGACCACCUGGACUAAUACUGACACUGAGGUGCGAAAGCGUGGGGAGCAAACA